rnacentral:rRNA from 1 species
AGGUUAUCCGAGUGGUUUCUGCUAAAGAAACCUUUUGUCAGUCCUAGAAACACUAACGAAUAAGGGGUGGGCAAGUUCUGGUGUCAGCCGCCGCGGUAAAACCAGCACCUCAAGUGGUCAGGAUGAUUAUUGGGCCUAAAGCAUCCGUAGCCCGUUUUGUAAGUUUUCGGUUAAAUCCAUGCGCUUAACGUAUGGGCUGCCGGGAAUACUGCAUAACUAGGAAGUGGGAGAGGUAGACGGUACUCGGUAGGAAGGGGUAAAAUCCUUUGAUCUAUUGAUGACCACCUGUGGCGAAGGCGGUCUACCAGAACACGUUCGACGGUGAGGGAUGAAAGCUGGGGGAGCAAACCGGAUUAGAUACCCGGGUAGUCCCAGCUGUAAACUAUGCAAACUCAGUGAUGCAUUGGCUUGUGGCCAAUGCAGUGCUGCAGGGAAGCCGUUAAGUUUGCCGCCUGGGAAGUACGUACGCAAGUAUGAAACUUAAAGGAAUUGGCGGGGGAGCACCACAAGGGGUGAAGUCUGCGGUUCAAUUGGAGUCAACGCCAGAAAUCUUACCCGGAGAGACAGCAGAAUGAAGGUCAAGCUGAAGACUUUACCAGACAAGCUGAGAGGUGGUGCAUGGCCGUCGCCAGCUCGUGCCGUGAGAUGUCCUGUUAAGUCAGGUAACGAGCGAGAUCCCUGCCUCUAGUUGCCACCAUUACUCUCAGGAGUAGUGGGGCGAAUUAGCGGGACCGCCGCAGUUAAUGCGGA